ACAGUAAAUCACAGGCUGGUCGACAUAAAACUGCCGAAAAACGAAGAGUACGACAUUAUAACUGAGGAAGAGGAUGGCAUUGUGGUCAUGAAACUUGUGCCGCGCUCCAGGACUGAGUGGUACCGCAGGACUCA